rnacentral:rRNA from 1 species
UACAGAGGGGGCAAGCGUUGUUCGGAAUUACUGGGCGUAAAGGGCGCGUAGGCGGCCUUCUAAGUCGAACGUGAAAUCCCCGGGCUCAACCCGGGAACUGCGUCCGAUACUGGAAGGCUUGAGUUCGGGAGAGGGAUGCGGAAUUCCAGGUGUAGCGGUGAAAUGCGUAGAUAUCUGGAGGAACACCGGUGGCGAAGGCGGCAUCCUGGACCGACACUGACACUGAGGAGCGAAAGCCAGGGGAGCAAACGGG